AUAUAAAUAACGACCACCAUAACUCAAAAUAAACAUAACGGUGUCAUGUGUAGGAAGAUGGCACUUAAAGAUUUGAUGUCACAAUGUGCUCCAAAUGAGGAAGUGUGGGCCCUGCCAAAUGCCACAGGAAAAUCUGAUUAAAUUGACAAGAAAACUGCUCCAUCAUUCCAUCGGAUAGAAGUCUGUAGUUCUCUGGGUAUGUUAAAACUUGCGGUGUAGAAGCUGUUGUCACAUUUAAGAGUUAGAUGAACUUUAUUAUCCAUUUCACUGCGCUCGUCUUCUUCGCCAGAACACACACAGGAUGUGUAACCAUAACAACAGUGGCAGUCCAGUAAAAGCAAAUAACCAGACGAACACACAAAUGGCCUGUCUUCUCCCUCGCUCUUCUUUCAACGUUUCAGCCUGCUUUAGGACGCUAUUGGUGCGCUUCACACAGCAAACAGUGGCAGCUGUUAUACAGCACAGUAAAGCCAGACCUGAAAUUUGCAAUAACAGUUUUCAAGGCGUGCUGUAAAGUCUCUUUCUGGAGCAAGGUUAAGAUUGUGGAAAUUGCUUUUCUGCUUCAAGUAGCAUUAAGGGAAUUGCACAACUCUCGCUCAGUGCAGACGUGCACAGCGUCAUGGAAACGCAUCUGGCUUUUAUUCUGCCUGUGCAAGUUGCUGUCUAAGCCUGUCAAGGAUCCGCCUGCCAAGAACAAUAUGAGAUCAGAUCCAAAGCAAGGAAAGUGGAAGGAACACAUGUGGCCGAAAAUAUGAGAGGCGAGCGAGAGAUUGCUUAAAUCACAGUCGCUCGCUGCCAAAUGCCUUGCAUCUGUGUAGGGAACUGACCUCCAAACAACCUUGGAAAGACCGUUUGCAAACAUCCAGUUCAUGCAGAGUUGCUCAAUCGGCCUUCCCCAGAGAGGGAGCAGUUUUUUUCAAAUUCACAACUGUUUUGGUUCGAUCACGCCACCCUGUUGCUGUCAGACCUGGAGACGACGACCCUCUGAGGUGCUUUGAUACAGCCUAGCGAAGGUGUUGAAAGUGUCACCCACUGGUGAAGAGGUUGACAUGAAAGUCACUUUAUAUCCCCUUUCCUGGUGACCACAGACAUACUGAUCAGCUGAUCCAACUGUGAGAGGAGACGGGGCUGGCUCUGUGUGGUGUAUGAAGACCUGCGGGUGCCGGCACUUUUAACAACUAAGGUGCUGAAGCACACACCCCUCUGCAUUGCCCCUCAAUGGGAGCUCACCGUGGGGGUUUUGGAGUGAAAGCAGACAGACGACCAUCUGAGAUGUCCCUGUCUGAGGAUGAAACUACACACUACUGUGCACCUCUCAGAUAACAAUGUGCAAAAAUGUACUUUGUACUAUACAGCACUGAAGUGUCCUUUAAAGGGACAACUUUGCACCUUAUUUAACCCUAAAAUUUAUUGAUUGCCUUAAAGGGAUACUCUACAAGCCCCAAAAUAAAAAUUUUGUCAUAAAUAACUUACCCCCAUGUCGUUCCAAAUCUGUAAAAGUGCCGUUCGUCUUUGGAACACAAUUUAAGAUAUUUUG